UUUGGAGGUUGGAGAAGUAUUUAAGAGGGUGUAUUCAUCAGAGGAAGCAAGCUUUUGGGAAAAUACAUCAAGUGCAUUCAAGAAAGAACCCUAGCAAGGCAAGCUUCAUCCAAGUGCUUCAUUCAAGAGUCAAAAGAAAGGGGUUGAGCAGAUUCAAAGAGUCAUCAAGAGCUCCAUCCUCCCUUGAAGAGUGAAGCAUCCUUGACAAAGAAGAGCAAAGCGACUUCAAAGCGAUAAAUACUUUCUAACUCUUCCUUGUAGCUUAUAUUGUUUCAUAUGCUCAUUUAGGAGUUUGAAUCUUUCCUUUGUUUAUUAAACACUGUGUAAAGGUUCGUUGGUGAGCCCGUAAAACCAACAUAGGUUCGUUAGUGAGCCCGUAAAACCAACAAAGGUUUUUGGUGAACCCGGAAAACCAAAGUGUAAAGGUUCGUUGGUGAGCCCGUAAAACCAACAUAGGUUCGUUGGUGAGCCCGUAAAACCAACAAAGGUUUUUGGUGAACCCGGAAAACCAAGUGUAUAGGUUCGUUGGUGAGCCCGUAAAACCAACAAAGGUUUUUGGAUUGUGAG
rnacentral:lncRNA from 1 species